UGAAGAAAAGUUGAUUCAGAAAGUUGUUUUUUUCGGCGACCCUAAUUAUAAUUCCCAGUCCUGAUCAGAAAUGGUUUUGUAGAACUAUAACCCUGUGCACACGCAAGUUGUUUUUUCGAGGGAUUGUGUUCAAAAGUAUUCCAGGCGGCCUCUGCUCUGCUGCCCUACUGCAGUAUGAUACACUGCAAUCCAGACUUCUUCUCUCUUAUCUAGGGCCUCCCCUUCACGAUAAAAACAGGUCUUAUUUCUAUUUAGAUAAGGAACUGCAGGUAAAGUCCCUUUCCCCGCCUGCCUUGGGACGAGACUGAUUGACAGUGAAGUGCGCCCCUUUUUAAUGGGCUUUCCGGCACCCAUUUACUUUUGGAUAAGGGAAUCGCCCACAUCGACUUCCCGUAACAAUAGACGGGAUAGCUGGCACAGUGGAGGGUAAACGUUUUUACAAGGCUGUGCUGCUGACAUGCCUGGGGGAGAUAUCUAUGCUUGAUCAUUUAGAACCUCCAAACCAUGUCAGACCCGGUGAUGAGAUCAGACCGCUCUCCCUGACCGUAGCUGACACCAAGUCAUUCUCAGUGAUACUCAAGGUCAAUCCAGCCACCCCGGAGGCGACAUCAAGGGCCUAGAUGUGUUUAUUAAGGCUCCCUUGGUAACAGCAAAGCAAAUAGCUGGCUCUGGUUUUGUUGCUUUUGGCUCCAUUUGUCUCUCUCCCUCUCUCUAUCUCUCUUGCCCCAUCUUCUUCACCCCCCCCCCCUCUCCUCCCCUGUCUCUAUUCCAGCUGCAGAUGGGACCAGGGAAACCCCAAGUCAAGACAGCCAGUCAACCAGUCAGUCAGUCAGUCAGCUCUAUAGAGAGCCCUGCUAAUCAGAACCCUGCAACAAUGUCGUUAUCCUGGCAAGGCCUGAAGUCCCAAGGACUCAACCCCAAUGACAUGAUGUAGCGAACUCAACUCAGCGAACCGCAUUAACGCAUUAUAUUAUAAUAUAUAGUAUGCGUUGUUUAAUGUUCACCCGUGGAUUAUAUUUCACACAAUGAUACAGAUGAGGUUAGACAUGGUGUACGAAAAAUAAUGACAUUUAUAUAGUGUAAUGUAUAUUGAAACAGGUGUUAAAAUGAAUCUGCCAUGUCUAUAAACCAUGUGAUAUCCUUUCAAUCCAGCCAAGAUCAGGCCAGACAUUGGAUCAGUCAUUCCGAUAUAUCACACUCUUUACCUUGAGAGAAUCCCUAGUGUGUGGUUCUGUGCUGUGAAUUUAAGUGAAAUAUGUUUCUUAUUGUUAACAUUCUCAAUGGGCCAGAACAAACGUUCUGACUAGUCGCUGCAUGUGUUGACGAGCGUGAGACAUUUGUUUGCCCAGCACUAAAAUGGUUUCCAUUGAGAUGAUCUGCGUGGCUCUGUUCUUUCAAAUGUUGUACUAACUGGGGAAUGUUUAAGGCAGCAGAGCACUUGUGAUGUGCGAAAUAGACAGAUGACUCUAAAUCUGAUGAUUAGCUGAGUAAACUCAGAGAUGUGUCACUUGUGCACAGGCGAGGGUUGAAAUCCAGCUGGAAUUCUGGCUGUGAAUGUGUCAUACCUGAAUGCAUUCUGACACACAACAAGAGAUUAGUUGUUCACUUCGCAGCAGUUCUUUACACUCCCGACAGUCCAACGCAUACCCGCGGCUUAUGAGGCGAUAGUGGAGAGACAUAAACAAUAGUACCAGAGUUUUGGAAGUGUUUAGAGAAUUGUUAGAGCGUAUCAUACCAGCUUCUCAGGAUAGACUGGUUAUGUCAUGUCGACUGGCACUGUAACUGUAGAUGACUUAUGAACCCAGGCAGGAGGACCUUGUUUUCAUUGAGGUGGUGUAGUAGUGUGUCUUAUUCUAAACCACCCAAAGAUAUGACGGAGGUAUUGAAUACACUUCCACAUCUGAAGCAAUUACAAGAUACAGUGGGAUGUCUUCUGGCAGACACUUCAAUGCAUGACUGGCCUUCGUCACCAUUCACACACCUGUCUGGGUGAUAACAGCAAAGCCAAUUUGUUUGCCGCUUGGCGAGGCUGUAAAGUAAACGACACUGGGAGAAAGUGUAACAGCAAGUCAUUUAUCCUCUUUCUCUCUCGCUCUCUCUGGCCCUUUUUCCCCUCUAUGCAAGCGGUAUGAAAGUAAUGUAGUCAAGAUAGAUUACAUGUCUCCUUAAAAUGUUAGUGUCUUGCCAACUGGUGUAAAAAAUAUGAGGGGGGAAAAAAGGGCUGAUAAUAAAAAGCUUUGUAAAGACAUCGAUAUGGCGUUAAAUAUCAUCCCCCUAAGAACAAAAACUUUGGACUGUGAAUGUUACUUUAUAGCGAUGACAAAUUGCAGGUAUCUCCUGUGGCUUUCUGUGAGCUUUCAGGGCGGCUUGCCAACUGGCUCGGUGCGACCUGUGUAUGACUGACUGCUACACCUGACCGUGCACAAUCCUCUGUGACUCCCAAUCAUCAGUAUGUCCCAGAGAUGACGGUGGCCCUCCAAUGAGCAUGCACUUACUAUUAGCAUGGCCCGCCAACUCUGUCUAAUGAGGUAGCCUAUCCAGUGAGCCCCUUAUCAUGUCCCUUCUGAGUAUGUGACAAACUGGAACCUGUCGCCUGCUGGUAGCCCCUGUCAUCCUGUAUAGGGGUUGAAAAUGGCAGAUUUUGUCAUUGAUAACCUCUUAGAUUGAAAUGCAGUGGCUGUACAGUAACAUGCCAUACAUAACGUCAGAGUUCGGGGUCUCCACUUCAAAGCGCUGUAUGGGUUUGACUGACAGCCGUUAUACACUUGAGCGCCGAGUGUGACAAGAAGAUGCCUCCAUCCCUCCCGCUAAGUGGGCUACUUUUGCUCAUUUGUUGUUGUUUGAGCAAGGAGAAAGGCAGUACAUUGAGAAGUGUCAAUGGGUUAUGAAAGAUAAGACGUUGAGGAUUGAACAUCUAUACGGCUUCGAUGCCGUACAAGCAAACCACACACGAGUCCAAAUGUGCGCUUCACAUUUCCAUAUUUUAAAACUCGUAUCAUUUACAGUAUCAACAUUUAUGAUCGAUAUGUUUGAUCCACAGGUACAAGAAUAACAUGCAAUAUACCCUGGGUUGGCCUGAACAGAAUGAGCCUGUUUGUCUUAUUGUGAAGAAAAUGAUUCUGUGGAACACGCACUUGAAUACACUCAUGACUCCAUUCUAUGCAGCACCAAAAUUACCAUCUAUGUGCCUUGUGAAAGCCUAACACCGUAAGAUCGUAUUUUAUAACUUAGCUACACCAUGUUGGCAAUAGAAUACGCUUUCAAAUGAUGCUCACCUGACCCAGAUUGUGAUUUAUAAUGGAGCGUUUUUGCAUUGCGUCAGCAAUCAACAGUAAUUGUGUGAUGGUGGGGGCGCAGGGCUGUUCCAAACAAAAAAAGACCAGUGUCCUUGCUUCAGUUCCUCAACGGCAAAGCCAGAAGAGCUAAAAAUAAAAGAACCUUACAGUUGAAGGCUCUUUCCUUGAGUCAUAAAACUGUGGCCAGUUAGACACCAGUUAAACCUCUCACUCACCCGUGUGAUUGUUUUCUCUUAUCUUGUCUUGUACCCGCUCCAACGUGUCAAUUCAUAUUUGGAUUAUUCUACUGAAUGUAUCUAGAGUAUCUUCAGAUUUCAUUUUGAAGAUGAAUGAACUAACUUGUAAGUUGCUCUGGAUAAGAACAUCUGCUAAAUGACUCAAAUGUCACGUGAAUGUAAAAAUGUUAUUGACAAAUGCUGUGAAGAUCUACAGUAAGUGUGAAAUGUACAUAAAAUCAACAGCCUACUGUUUGGAUUCAGUCUUCUGUCAGGUGAACUGUUGUUGAUCAGACCAAAGGCGAGGACACAACAGCUCACAUGACAGAAGACUGAAUUCAAACAGCAGGCUGUUGAUUUUAUGUGCAUUCGACAUUGUUUUCUUCCUAAAUAGUUCUACUAUACAACUCACAGUUAGGCAUUGAAAGCACUAAAAAUCUGCUGUGGUGUAGGCCUACGUUUGUGCCCCCUCUGUGAAAUUUCAGUUUUGAAAUUCUUAAGAUUAAUACACCUGUAAUGAUGUGCGCUGAGAGUCGGGAAGCAAGUUCAGGGAGUGAGUGUUUUAAUCAAAUAAAUGGU